rnacentral:snRNA from 1 species
GUCUUAGUGCAUGGGCUUGACGCGUGCAAGUGAGGAUUCGUCCGAUGCCGUGUUUUUGCUAGUUGAAAACUACAACUACUGACCGCUUGUGUUGGCCUUCGGGUCGGCACGGAAUAUUUGGAAACCUACCUGGC